rnacentral:rRNA from 1 species
UACGAAGGGGGCUAGCGUUGCUCGGAAUCACUGGGCGUAAAGCGCACGUAGGCGGCUUCUUAAGUCAGGGGUGAAAUCCUGGAGCUCAACUCCAGAACUGCCUUUGAUACUGAGGAGCUUGAGUCCGGGAGAGGUGAGUGGAACUGCGAGUGUAGAGGUGAAAUGCGUAGAUAUCUGCAGGAACACCCGUGGCGAAAGCGGCGCGCUGGACCACUACUGACGCUGAGUGAACGAAAGCUAGGGGAGCAAACAGG